AUCCACUUUGGGAUGGGAAACCCACUGAGUGAGGUAGAAAAGAGGGUGAAGUAGAAAAGGCGGGAUUCCGGGCUGGGAAAUCCAGCAGGGUCUCUGUGUGCUGCCGAUGGGUUUGGAUGGUUCUGCAGGUGACGGGGCUGUCAACGUUGCAGCACCAGGAUGAAGUCUGGGGUGGAAAGCAGAUACAUUCAUGGAGGGGAGGAGCGCGGGCUCUCAGUUGAGAGGCGUUCUCAGCAGUGCUGCAAAGAGAUGGGGCCAGUCCUGAGCCACUGGAAAGGCGGGCGGCGAGCACAGAAGCCUUUCACAGGCCAGUUGCACAGGCCUGGGUGCACUGACUGGCGUGGGUAUGGUGGGCGAGGGUGGCGUCCAAGGUGACACUGAGGUUCCAGCAGAGGCCGCGAACAGAUCAGUCUAUGGAGGGAUGUUGGGCAUACAACGGAGGAGCGGAUGUGAGAAGUCAAUAAUGAGUUCAAUUUAGGCCAUCCUGAGGUUCAGGUGUUGUAUCAAAUACAGUUGAAACUGUGAUUUGGUGUUCAGAGGAAAACAGACUUUGAGAAAAACAGAUUUGGGAGCCACUGAUAGGGAAGGGAAACGGAUGAAAUUACCCGGGACCCUGUGGAGCUUGAGGACAGGGGCGUCUCCCUCCCUGCAGAGCAGGUGCCCGGAGAGGAGACAGAGCCCGUGAAGUGGGGGCAGGAAAGGGCGCUGAUGGCGCAGAGCCCGGGGAAAAUGUCAAGAGCCCCAGGAGUGGAUGCCCCCAAACAACCGUCAAAUUGGUCUUGUGUGUGCGGUGAGGGCGAGGGGAGGCCGACUAAAUACCUCCUGACUGUGCCCCUCAGGGGGUAGGAACAGAAGCACCUCCAGGGAGGGAGCAGAGCGGUGGAGAGGAAAUGCAUGCUGGGUUGAAUGACAUCAAACUACUCGGAAGCAAAGGAACAGCCUCAUGUUUUAGUCUGUGAGAUGGGGCCAGGGAGCGCCUGGUCCGGCAGGAGUGAGAGAUGCACACCUGCACGCGACGGCUCCACUGGGCAGGGAGAUAGGGUGUGUCCAGGGGAAGAGGCUGCCAGAAGCGGCCAGAGGAAUCAAGAGUUCCAACUCUUAGUAAGAAUCUAAGUUGGGAGAGAUGAGACUGUGGGCACAGCCAGGCAAAACAGGCCUCUCCACCACACUGGCCCCAUGCUGAGGACAGAGGUGGCAAGUUUAGAAUGACAAGUAGUCUGUGUGUGUGUGUCUGUGUCUGCGUGUGUGUCUGUGUCUGUGUGUGUGUGUGUAUGUGUGUCUGCCUGUGUGUUGAAGGGGGCACACGAGAGAAUUCCCUCAGUAAUCUGAGGGUGUCUGAGAGUGGAGACAAUGAGAAUGUUGCUUCCAUUUGCCAUUGGACAGCAGCUCUCCAGGCGUGUGCAGCUUUGCAGCCAGCAGGCUAUGUUGGGGUCCACCCCUUGGCUCCAUUCUUGGGGGAAGGGGGAAAUCUGAAAGCCUGCCAGAGAAAAGGCCACACAACGAAGCCCCCUGGCUAGGCAGCCCACUAUGCAGAUUCUAUAAUGGGGCAGUGCCUGCGUCUCAGAGGGUGCCUGCAAGCUGAGCUGAGAGUUAAGUGAAGGCCAGCAGAAAGGCCCAGUCACUGUUUAAAGAAGCCCUGUGACAUAUAGGCUGGACCAAAACAGAGAGAGGAGGGGGCACGCCCUCCCCUACUCACUGCCUGGGAGUGCUGGGGUGAUUUGCUGGGGCUUAGAGUAGAUGGGGGUGGGGUCAGCAGUGGGAGAGGAGACACAGGGAAGCAGCUCUGGAGCUCAAUGCAGCAAAAUUCUCCCGAUGCACAACCUGCUCAGAGGCAUCCCUACUGGACCCAUGAGGCAGUCUGGGGCUCAGGAUCAGGACAUUACACUGAGAUACAGAGAAAUAAAGAGCAUUUAAUUUUGGCCUUCAAUUAUGCCCCUGUGAAGUUCAUGCCCACCACAACUGCAACUAAGCUAAGGUGGUCGCUUGCAUUUUGUGCGGGAUUAAAUUGAUGAUGCCGCGAUUUCCUCCAGCAUCUUAUCUCAGGCAUCGGGAACUAAUCUGCAGCAGGGCCACCAUUUAUAUUGUGGGCACUCAAUUUGUUCUUUUUCUUAAUGAAUUCUUUGAUUAUCUAAUAUUUUCCUUUAAAAUGGCUUAUAUAUUUGCAGUGAAAUUUACCAAGUGUUGAAGUAACAGUAACAUCUUUAAGUCCUGUUAAUUUGAAAAAUGUAGAUUUCCUAUGACAACCCUGAACUGUCCUGGAACUUUACUCAUGCUGAACUUCAGGACAUCUUAUUAAGAUGGAUCCAUGUUAUAGAAAUUAUGUGGAUUGUUUUAUCACAAUGUCCCCUGAUCUUUCUUUCUUAGCUUAAUUUUCUACUACAAUCCAGGCUUAUUUUGGCCAAUUGUUCCCACUUGCUUUUUUCGGUAAAAAAACAAUUGUGAUGACUCCCAGCGUACGGCUGCACUCCUCCUCCAUCUUUCUCUCUGUGGUGCCAUGUGCAGAGGUGCCUGGAGUGUGGUUAGAUCCUUUCCCCAUCCCUGGCUACAAACAGCAGUAUUUGCUUCUGCCCUAUAUGGUGGCGUGCUAAAUUAAUUACUUUUUGGUUUCUGCUAAUUAAUUGCAUUGGUGUUCUGGCUUCAGCUUUCCUGGCCUUGCAGGUAUCAUGCCAUGAAAACAAAACAAAACAAAUCUUCCAUGAUCUGGCCUAAUUUCUACUGCUUGUCCCGUUUCCAUUUGCCCACCAGGUCUCUGAAUGUAACCAAAUUGUUCUCCUCUUAUCAUUCCCAUUCACUGGUGUACUUGUUUGUGGAGCCUGCAGAACUGCCUUUUCCAAGAAUGCUUAAGGCUAAUUUAAAAGGAUGGUGAGGAGAUUCUAUUUUCAACUGGCUGAAGUUCAAUAAGAAUAAAAUAAAACACUGUUAUAGCAAACUCUUUCACAGUGGAAGUUUGGCAAAGCUAAAUCUCAUUCCUUUCGAUGUGCUCCAGUACAGCCAAAAUACUGUUCCAGUGAGUAAGACACCCAUUAGAGUGAUGAGCUUCCUACAGGACAAGAAUCUCUCCAUAUUUUACUUUAAACCAAAUCAGUGUUGCAUUGCUUUGUAUUAAGAAUCCAAAAAGAAAUAUUGUGUAAUACAAUCAGUAAAAAACCUACAGUUUCGUUACAGUUAUAUUUUUAUCAUUGGCCUGCGUUUUCCUAAUUUCAGAAGUAUACGUGAUCAUUUUAGAUACAGGAAAUGACUUCUUUUAAUUUUUCUUGUAGUGAAAGUUUUACAAUUCUUUAGUCAAGCCUACUGAUUAGCUUAAAAACCCUAAUAAAAGGAGUGACCACACAUACAUCUCUGUAGGUAUAAAUCAAGGUUGGGAAAUUUUAAAGGUGCAUUUCUUUUUCUUCCUUUUUUUUUUUCUUUAACCCUAUGUCUUCUAGGCAGCUUGGCCUCUAAAUCUGCUUCCCACUGAUGGGAAGAGCUGACAGAAGCUUUAGAGAGGCACAGGGUGAGUUCCUAAAACCAGAGUCAACACACACUCUUCAUCUGUUUUGUGCUUCACUCCCUGCUCAUCUUUCUAAAACACUGAGUUUGGUCAUAUCAUGUCCUACAAGUUGUCAAUGAUUUCCCAUGAUCUUGUCUUCAGGAUAAAGUUCCUUAGUCAAAAGCAAUGAAGACCUGACCUAAUCUGUAAGGCAAAAUCAACACUUUUUAGCCUGGCCUUCCAUGCCCUUCCAUGCCCUUCGAGCCCCCAGAGCACCCAUGGCAGUCCAUCUCUCUCUACUUGUCCAGAUGGACACUCUCUUAGAGCCAGUGGCUCCUAGUCAUUGUUCCCUGAACACGUCGUGGGAAUGUUUGCCUUCAUACCUUCCCAGAUCAUUUUCCUGAUCUCAGACACCCUCCGUCCUCAUUCAUUCACUCUUCAAUUGUCCAACAAAUAUUUGUUGCUCAUGCAACCUGGAUCACCCACAUAGUUUCAAGACGGCAUCUUCUAAACUAUUUAAAUCCUAUCCAUUCUUCAAGAAAUGUUUCAUGACGCUUCCUUAACUGCUAAGGACCCGCAGAUUCUCUUCCUCUUGGGACUCACACACUGACUCAUCUCCCGCUCUUUUGGUGCUCAGCAAAGUGGAGGCCUCUAUUUUGGACUUAGAGUCAAGACCAUUAAAUAAGACUAUGCUCUAAAAAGUACACCUCCGUGGCCCGGAACGAGUGAAUUAACAUCUAUGAGUUUCCAUUUCCUUGUCUAUAAAAUUGUGAAAUUGCAACUUAAGAUUAGUUCUGAAGAUUGAAUGAGGUAACAUAGGUGAAAAUGCCACAUUUAUGUAACAAAUUACUCUUUCAUAAGGAUGUCAAUGUUUAAAUACGCAUUUUCUCAAUUUUGUUAAUGAAAUACUUUGAAAUUCUUUUUUCUAAUGAAACCUGCUGAAUGUAAAAGAGACCCGUACUAAAGAAAGAUACCACAUGAAGCACCAAGGGUCUCUUUCUGGAUCUAUCAUGACUCUUGUGACUGUUUCAGCAGCACAGAAAUUAAAGGCGAUUGUUAUUCUG